UUUUUCGCUCUUUCCCAUGCUGAACAGCGAAGAGGACGUACACGAUAAAAUGAUUAACAACUCUAGGAAAAGGCGAGUUGAUCGAUUUAGCAAUGAGAAACGGGGCGGUGAACGAUUGCGCGCUCGUGACUGGUCUCUUUCCGAGCGCACGAGCUGAUAUGAGUUCAUUUUGUGAGGAGUUGUGAGAAACACGUGGCUGCAUGGAGCCUGUAACCCUGUCCGAGGGUUCUUGCUUCACUGUCUGGGACUUCCUCCAGCGGCCCAGCAGUGUGAAGAGGAGAGGAGGGAGUAGACAUGUGGCUCGGACUUGGUUGAAGUGAAAAGAGCAGAGAGGCGUUCCUGGAUCUCGAAUCAACGGCUCACAUUUAUUCCUGUUAACAAGGCAAGU